GACAGAGGGGGCAAGCGUUGCUCGGAAUUACUGGGCGUAAAGGGCGCGUAGGCGGGAUGGCAAGUCGGUCGUGAAAUCCUUCGGCUCAACCGAAGAACGUCGAUCGAUACUGCUGUUCUAGAGGGUUGCAGAGGAGACUGGAAUUCCCGGUGUAGCGGUGAAAUGUGUAGAGAUCGGGAGGAACACCGGUGGCGAGGGCGGGUCUCUGGGCAACUCCUGACGCUGAGGCGCGAAAGCGUGGGGAGCAAACGGG
rnacentral:rRNA from 1 species